GAUGAACGCUGGCGGCGUGCCUAAUACAUGCAAGUCGAGCGAACAGACGAGGAGCUUGCUCCUCUGACGUUAGCGGCGGACGGGUGAGUAACACGUGGAUAACCUACCUAUAAGACUGGGAUAACUUCGGGAAACCGGAGCUAAUACCGGAUAAUAUAUUGAACCGCAUGGUUCAAUAGUUAAAGACGGUUUUGCUGUCACUUAUAGAUGGAUCCGCGCCGCAUUAGCUAGUUGGUAAGGUAACGGCUUACCAAGGCAACGAUGCGUAGCCGACCUGAGAGGGUGAUCGGCCACACUGGAACUGAGACACGGUCCAGACUCCUACGGGAGGCAGCAGUAGGGAAUCUUCCGCAAUGGGCGAAAGCCUGACGGAGCAACGCCGCGUGAGUGAUGAAGGUCUUCGGAUCGUAAAACUCUGUUAUUAGGGAAGAACAAAUGUGUAAGUAACUAUGCACGUCUUGACGGUAACUAAUCAGAAAGCCACGGCUAACUACGUG
rnacentral:rRNA from 1 species